rnacentral:tRNA from 1 species
AGCUUUAUAUUCAAUAUAUGAUAUUAAAUUGCAAAUUUAAAGGAAUAAAUUAUUUUUAUUAAGGCUU